rnacentral:rRNA from 1 species
GAUGAACGCUGGCGGCGUGCCUAAUACAUGCAAGUCGAGCGAACAGACGAGGAGCUUGCUCCUCUGACGUUAGCGGCGGACGGGUGAGUAACACGUGGAUAACCUACCUAUAAGACUGGGAUAACUUCGGGAAACCGGAGCUAAUACCGGAUAAUAUAUUGAACCGCAUGGUUCAAUAGUGAAAGACGGUUUUGCUGUCACUUAUAGAUGGAUCCGCGCCGCAUUAGCUAGUUGGUAAGGUAACGGCUUACCAAGGCAACGAUGCGUAGCCGACCUGAGAGGGUGAUCGGCCACACUGGAACUGAGACACGGUCCAGACUCCUACGGGAGGAAGCAGUAGGGAAUCUUACGCAAUGGGCGAAAGCUUGACGGAGCAACGCCGCGUGAGUGAUGAAGGUCCUCGGAUCGUAAAACUCUGUUAUUAGGGAAGAACAAAUGUGUAAGUAACUAUGCACGUCUUGACGGUACCUAAUCAGAAAGCCACGGCUAACUACGUG